rnacentral:lncRNA from 1 species
UGAGAGCCAACUUUCCCAGGCUGAAGGAGCAGAGUGGGGAGGAGGGGCUGAGAUGCAGUGAAGGAAAAAUAAUGAUAACAAGUAGAAGAGGAAGUGCUGUGUGGUAGAUCCAGCGUUCGGGUCUCUGUGGCCUGUGGAGAGGACGCACCACAGACUGCCCUGUGCCGCCUGGGCCAAACUGCCCCAGGCUAAGCUGUGCGUUUUUUGGAGCCUACCACAUUGCCUACCCGACGGUCCACCAGGCCCAGGACUGAACAGUAUCCUCUGCGGAGAAAGCAGCUGUGGAAACAGACAUUGAGGAAGCUGUAUCUUCUGGACUUGAAGUCUUUCAAAAACAACUAACAUGCUGUGAGCUGGUGAGACAGCUCAGUGGGUAGGAUGCUUGCCCCAGCCUGUCUCCUCUUAGCCUCUGUCUUACACAUUCUAUAAUGUGUGUUUUCCUAGGAGGGAGCAGUAACAGCUUCUCUUAGGACUUUACCUCCACAGAUGUUCCACUGACUUUUAAGUAUGGAAGUGACCAGUGCUCCUGUAAAGACAUGGACAAAAGAGGUUUGUAUGCAGUGUUGCUCAGAAACAAAACCAGGAGAUGUCAGGAGAAGACAGACAAGAGCACAAAAGAGCCCUCAUCCAGUGGCUGAUGGAAGCAGAGGCAAACAUCCACAGAUAUACUCUGAACUGAACUCUGGAACCCAGUUGCAGAAAGGGAGGAAUGAAGAACAAAGGGGUUGGUACCAGGCUGGUGAAAGCCACAGAACCAGCUGGACUGAACAAGGGAGAGCACAUGGACCCCAGAUUGCUGUCUGGGAGACCAGCACAGGACUGAAUUAGACCCCUGAACAUGGAUGUCAAUGAGGAGGCCUCCACACUCUAGGGGGGCCCUGGUAGUGGAUUGGCAUUUUCCCUGGUGUAAGAAGGGACUUUGAGAGUCCAUUCUACAUGAAGGGAUGCACUCUUGGCCUGGACACAUGGGGAAGGGCCUAGGCCUGGGCCACGAUGAUGUGGUGGACUUUGGGGAGCCUACCCUGCCUGGGGAGUGGAG